AUACGGAGGGUGCAAGCGUUAUCCGGAAUCACUGGGUUUAAAGGGUGCGUAGGCGGCUCAAUAAGUCAGAGGUGAAAUCUUUCUGCUUAACAGAAAAAUUGCCUUUGAAACUGUAGAGCUUGAAUCAAGUUGAGGUUGGCGGAAUGUGACAUGUAGCGGUGAAAUGCAUAGAUAUGUCAUAGAACACCAAAUGCGAAGGCAGCUAACUAGGCUUGUAUUGACGCUGAGGCACGAAAGCGUGGGGAGCGAACAGGAUUAGAAACCCCAGUAGUCC
rnacentral:rRNA from 1 species